GAAGAUACAGUGAAAGCAUCAGUUCUUGUAGGUCCUAAGAAGUAAAAACCUUGGGCUAACAAUGGUAUUUUUCUGGGUCCUAAUAAUUUCAAGUUUACUGGCAAGUUUACAGCAUGUUAGUUGUUUUCACUGAAGAUGAAUCAGACACGAAUAUCCAACAUUAAAAGCACAUAGUCAGAUACAUCAUCAUACUACAUGGCUCAACUGGUAACGCUUGUCUUCUCUCUACUUCAUUUGGAUUAUUCUCUUGUGGGUUGUUUCUCAGAUUCCUUUUUCUCUUUUAUUGUUUUCUUAUAAUUUCUAUCACGUAAUGUGUCUACUUCCUGUUUGUCAUAUUGUUUUUGUUUCUAAUGGCAGUACUGUUAUGAUAAGCUUUCCUCUCUUUUUUAUAUUAUUAGUUCAAUUGAUGGUGAUUGUUUGGAGGGUACUGAAAUCAUAUUUGUGAUUGUGAUUUGAUUGUAGGAAGAAAGGUUAGCCCCCCUCCCGGGGAAUUGCAGCCCCUGAAUGUGAGACUUGGGCGACUAUGAUCACUCAGGGUCAAUACUCACUGCCUCUUCAUCUUUGAGAUUGUGGGAAAUGGCUUAAUGAACAUUGAAUGGUGCCAUAUUAAAACAGUUCUUUGUUUUUGCUGGCUAAUUAGUCUUUAAAUGCAGCAUUUGAAUCCCCUGUCUCUGCUACACCAUAAGAGUACAAUGGUUUUUGGUUGCUUGCUAUAGUAAGUUAAACCUAUGUUGAGUAAGGUCUUGAAUUUGAGUCUUUCUGGAUAUAAAAAACGACAUUGGACCCAAUGUAACUACCGGAUAUACGAGUAUCUCGGACAAAAAAAAAAACAGUUAAAAGUAAAGACUAUUUUUACAGCUUCAGUUUGUGGGGAUUGAGGAAUUGUUAUGUUGAGCCUGCUUGGGUGCUUUUCCCAUCAUGGUUUGUAAUAAUAAUGGAGGGUGGAGUGAGGUGGUAGGUGUUUUCUUGCUUCACAUUGAGGUCUUCAACCGUUAAGAAAACACCAGCAGCACUCAAUAAUUGCAGCAAAAAACAAUUGGUGCCUGCAUGGCUUUUUGUGCAUGUCCUGCUAGUGUCAGCACCACACUGACCAUUACUGCUCAUGGAUCAGAUAUCAUAUGGAGGACAUAUUUGAUUAAAAAUGUCAUAGAUUCCAUUUUUGAAUGACAUUUAGCUAGUGGUUUCACUUGUUAUUAUUAACUUAAUUUUCAAAAAAAAGAGUGCCCUUAGAGCAUAGAACUAAUAUUCAUGUCUUAUUGUCUAAACUUGAUGUCAUACAUACCAUCUAUGUGAACAAAAUGGUACAAAUAGUUGCAUGAAUGUUGUGACAAUAGCAUUACACUUGGAAGCCGUCGGAACUGUCUAAAAGAACUACGACGACAAGAGGUCAAAAAGUUUGGUUCUUUCCUUUAUGCUCAAGGGAUAAUGUUGAUGCAGAGUGAUAACAUGAUCGGUGUUCCGUUGCUCGGUCACUUCCUUGUGGUGGGAGGAGGAGCUGCGAGCAGGAGCCACACAGUCCUAAUGGAACCUAUGGACCUUAUGAACUUGCGUCAUUUCUCCUCGAACUAGUAGGUUUCUUGGUGCAGAUGUUGAUGCCUGUGUGGACAACCCUCCUAAAGUCCUAAGCAUGCCCUUACAUCUUGAAUCCUAGCAUUGAGUUGUUUUGAUCUAUCAAUCCAUACAAAGGUUUAUCCA